UGCGCAGGCGGUUCGCCAAGUCAGGUGUGAAAUCCCCGGGCUUAACCUGGGAAUUGCGCUUGAAACUAGCGAGCUUGAGUGUGGCAGAGGGGGGUGGAAUUCCACGUGUAGCAGUGAAAUGCGUAGAGAUGUGGAGGAACACCGAUGGCGAAGGCAGCCCCCUGGGUCAACACUGACGCUCAUGACGAAAGACGUGGGGGAGCAAAC
rnacentral:rRNA from 1 species